rnacentral:rRNA from 1 species
UACGUAGGUGGCAAGCGUUGUCCGGAAUUAUUGGGCGUAAAGAGCUCGUAGGCGGCCUGUUACGUCUGCUGUGAAAUCCCGGGGCUUAACCCCGGGCGUGCAGUGGAUACGGGCAGGCUGGAGGCAGGCAGGGGAGAACGGAAUUCCUGGUGUAGCGGUGAAAUGCGCAGAUAUCAGGAGGAACACCGGUGGCGAAGGCGGUUCUCUGGGCAUGUCCUGACGCUGAGGAGCGAAAGUGUGGGGAGCGAACAGG